CCCAUCAGAGUCAUCUGAUCAUCAAACUCCCUGACUCUCUUUCAUUCUCAUCAUUAUACUUCAACCACAUUUCAGAAGUACUAGUGAAGUGCAACCCCAAUGACAAUGGUACACUGACAGACUGUGAACUGGGAAACCCAUUCAAAAGAGAUGCUGAAGUUACUUUCUAUGUAAUAUUGUCCACUUCCCGCAUCUCUCUGAGCACAACUGAUGUAAAUAUUACCUUGUAGCUUGAAACGACAAGUGUGCAGAAGAUACAAGCAAGUGAAGCAAAGGCCAAAGUAGUUUUUGAGCUGCACCUACAAGUAUUUGGACUGGCCAGGCCCUCCCAGGUCAGCUUUGGAGGAGCUGUAAAGGGAGAGAGCGCCAUGAAAUCAGAGGACGAUAUUGGAACCCUUGUGGAGU